rnacentral:other from 1 species
UAUAGGGUCUUGUAGUUGGCAGUAAUAGUUUUUUCGCCCUACAAUUUCUUUCAAGGAGGCGGUCCCUGAUUACGGUGAGCAAGCUUGCACAGAGUCUUUUGAUUUUGUAAGCGAGAAGCCUAAAGUGAUUAAUUACUGCAUCCACCUGUCUAAUGGCGGGCGGAAGACUCCACGCUGCUAGCUCAAGGCCCUACUU